rnacentral:rRNA from 1 species
AUGCAAACACUCAACCGGUUGCAUGAUCCCAUUAUAGAGGAGCGGAUCCGCGAAAGGUCAUCCACUCUUGAGAAAUGUGGUGAAAAGAAAGAGGCAAGAGACUUUUUGGAUGUCCUGGUUCAUCUUAAAGAUGCAGAGGGACAGCCAUUGCUGUCCCUACAAGAAAUUAGAGCACAAACAGCGGAAAUGAUGUUUGCAGCAGUCGAUAACCCAUCUAAUGCGGUUGAGUGGGCACUCGCUGAGAUGAUGAACUUGCCAGAGAUCAUGCAAAAAGCAACCGAGGAACUUGAUGUUGUCGUUGGUAAAGAUAGACUAGUGCAGGAGUCUGACAUUCCUCAGCUAAACUAUCUCAAAUCGUGCAUCCGGGAGGCCUUCCGCUUACACCCAUACCAUGCUCUUAACAUACCCCAUGUCGCCAUGGCGGACACAACUAUUGCUGGAUACACCAUCCCCAAGGAUAGCCACAUACUUUUAAGCCGGCUUGGACUUGGCCGCAAUCCCAAGAUCUGGACUGAACCACUGGAGUUUCAGCCUGAGAGGCAUUUGAACACUGCGAAUGUACUUCUCACUGAUCCAGGCCUACGUUUCAUUUAA